rnacentral:rRNA from 1 species
ACCUUUGACAUGUACGGAAUCCUUUAGAGAUAGAGGAGUGCUACGAAAGAGAACCGUAACACAGGUGCUGCAUGGCUGUCGUCAGCUCGUGUCGUGAGAUGUUGGGUUAAGUCCCGCAACGAGCGCAACCCUUGUUCAUUAGUUGCUACAUUCAGUUGGGCACUCUAAUGAGACUGCCGGUGACAAACCGGAGGAAGGUGGGAUGACGUCAAGUCCUCAUGGCCCUUAUAGGUGGGGCUACACACGUCAUACAAUGGAUGGUACAAAGGGUCGCCAACCCGCGAGGGGGAGCCAAUCCCAUAAAGCCAUUCGUAGUCCGGAUCGCAGUCUGCAACUCGACUGCGUGAAGUCGGAAUCGCUAGUAAUCGUGGAUCAGAAUGUCACGGUGAAUACGUUCCCGGGUCUU